rnacentral:misc_RNA from 1 species
GAACGCAUAUUGCGCUCUUUGGUAUUCCGAAGAGCAUGCUUGUUUGAGUGUCGUGAACACCUCAACCCUCUAAUGUUUUUGCAUUGAAGGCGUUGGUAGUGAGCGCUGCCGGUCUUUGGGUCGGCUCGCUUUAAAAUAAUUAGCUGGAUCCAUUCUGACCUGGUUCUACUCGGCGUAAUAAGUUAUUAUCGUCGAGGACGCCUAGCCUUCUAGGCAGGCGGCCACAGUAAGGGUGUUUGAACCGCUUCCAACACGUCUUGCUCUUGUAGCAAACACUUGAACCUCUGACCUCAAAUCAGGCAGGACUACCCGCUGAACUUAAG